GUCCACGCCGUAAACGAUGUCUACUAGCCGUUGGGACUCUUGAAGUCUUAGUGGCGCAGCUAACGCACUAAGUAGACCGCCUGGGGAGUACGGCCGCAAGGUUAAAACUCAAAUGAAUUGACGGGGGCCCGCACAAGCGGUGGAGCAUGUGGUUUAAUUCGACGCAACGCGAAGAACCUUACCUGGCCUUGACAUGCAGAGAACUUUCCAGAGAUGGAUUGGUGCCUUCGGGAGCUCUGACAC
rnacentral:rRNA from 1 species